rnacentral:rRNA from 1 species
CAGUAGCCGCGGUAAUACGGAGGGGGCUAGCGUUGUUCGGAAUUACUGGGCGUAAAGCGUACGUAGGCGGCUUGGUAAGUUAGAGGUGAAAGCCUGGAGCUCAACUCCAGAAUUGCCUUUAAGACUGUCGAGCUAGCAGGUGAGAGAGGUAAGUGGAAUUCCGAGUGUAGAGGUGAAAUUCGUAGAUAUUCGGAAGAACACCAGUGGCGAAGGCGGCUUACUGGCUCAUACUGGACGCUGAGGUGCGAAAGCGUGGGGAGCAAACAGGAUUAGAUACCCCAGUAGUCCCUGUCUCUUAUAC